UUAGUGGCGGACGGGUGAGUAACGCGUGGAAAACCUGCCGUAUACUGGGGGAUAACACUUAGAAACAGGUGCUAAUACCGCAUAAGCGCACAGCUUCGCAUGAAGCGGUGUGAAAAACUCUGGUGGUAUACGAUGGUUCCGCGUCUGAUUAGCUAGUUGGUGGGGUAAUGGCCUACCAAGGCAACGAUCAGUAGCCGGCCUGAGAGGGUGAACGGCCACAUUGGGACUGAGACACGGCCCAAACUCCUACGGGAGGCAGCAG
rnacentral:rRNA from 1 species